AAAGAUUGCUCCAGUUUUCUGUUUAGUUUCCAUAGUCAGCAAAUCACUCCUCAGCUUCUAUCCUUCCUUGAAGUAUAUCCGCUUCUGAGCUCUUUCCACGUGUAAACUCUGAUAGAUCUUGACUAUGUAAACUCUGAUCAGACUUUAUUAAACUCUGUCAGACUUUGCUAAACUCUGAUCAGCUUCUAGCUUAAACUCUGAUGAUUCCUGUUCUAAAACAAACUUUAAGAACAUUAGUAAUCAUCAAUUAUAUCUAACAUAUUAAACUAUAUAAUAAAUUAUAUAAACUCUAUUUUAUUUCCACUUCUGUUCCUCGCCAUCUUAUCAGGUAGGAUUUAGGAAUGCUUGAGCUUAGUUUUCAGUGGUACUGAUUGACCACACAGGUCAUACAAUAUGGUUGUUCUAGGUAAUUUUAUUAGGUUCCUAACUCUAGGUUUGUUCCACAAAAAUUCAUAUAAUACAAAUAGUCAAUUUCUUUCACUUUUGUUUUCAGAAUUUCUUGAUUUGAAUACUUAGGGCCUUAUUCUUUAUAUUUUUCUUCUAAAAGAUUUAUCUUCAUUUGCUCAAUCAGUUGAUUUCAAUAAUACAUGAUCACAACAGUUCCCAAUGAGCUAUUAUAUGUAUUAAGGGUCUAUAUGACAAAAAUAUAGGUGAUUUUUUUUUAAUGCACUUUUACACCCCCACUAUUUUCGUUCAAAAAAGGAUGUGUCCCAGAACGUUAUAAAAUGCAAAUUACAACCCAUAAUUUUGGCCCACACAAUCAUUUUGGAUCCCUUCCAUUAAAUUUCUGUUUAAGGUGAUUGUAACUAUAAAAACAUGAGGGUAUUUUAGACUUUUAAAUUCGAAUGAAAAAAAUUAUAUAUAUAAACAUAUUUAUGAUAAAAAAAUUCCCCCAAUACACACUGGAUAAUCAGCACUUUACAUGAUUUAAAAAAAAAUAUAUGUUAAUAUAUAUUUUUAUCUUUAAGCUUUAAAAGUCUAACAUAAAAAUAAAACAAGUAAUUACAUAUAACACAAAAUAUAUAAUUAUAAUGUCUUAAUGAUAAAAUAUCUAAAUUAAAUUUGAUAUAGCUUUUUAAUAUAUAUUUAAAGAUCAUGCCAAAAAUUUCAAUUAAUUCAUAUAACUUUGAAGUUUCAAAAUUAUUUAAUUUUAAUAAAUAAAUUACAGAAAUUCCCAUUUUUCCCCAUUUAACGAAAAAUUAACAAAAGGGGUGCUAAAUGACUUCGUUGGUGAAAGUUAUGGGAUGCAAUUUGCAUUUUUUAAACUUCUGCUACACAUUGAUUUUUGAACGAAAAUUGUGAGGCGCAAAAUGCAAUUACGUCAGAAGAAUAUGUUAUAUGACGUGAAAUAGUACAACCCCUAAUCUCAGAUGCUCACAAACAAAAGGCCCUCUUGACAAUCUCCGACCAAUAAUUAACCUACUCUAAUUAUCCACAUAUCCGCUGACCAACGAACAUUGGCUUAUUAAGGCAAAAACAAUCAAUUGUCUCCAAAUUCCUUUGCCUCAGUUUCAAUGAACUAAGAGAAUCCAUAUUUCCUUUGAUUUUUUGCACAUGUAAGAUUCAACUUCUUAUGUUUGAUCAGGCUCAGACUAGAUUAAUGGCAUGUGAAAAAUGGAUUAGGAAUACCCAAUGGAGGAUCUUAUGAUAUCAUGCCUAAAAAAUUAUGGGAGUUUGGCUCAAAGGGGCUAAAAUCCGGAUAAUAACUUGUAAAGGGUCUGCGAACGAAUGUGGAUCCUGUUAUGGUAGGAUUUUGACUCCAUUCAUGUUGCCACAACCUACUUAAGUAUUCUUUUAGAGCCUGUUUGGGUGAGUUUAAAAUAAUGACUUAUGACUUAAAAUGACUUUAUAUGAUAAGUAAGGAAUAAUUUUAAGUUAGUAUUUAUUUUGGGGUAACUUUUUAUAUUAUGGGGCACUUAUCAUUUAUUAAAAAAGUAAAUAAAUAAUAAGUUCAUCGAUUGUUCAUUUGAAUGAUGAUAUAAACUUUUUUUCAUUCAAAAUUAUAAAAAUAAAGUAAGAUUUUCGAAAAAAUACAAUCUACCAAUUUCUAGCUUUAAGUUGUUUUUCUAAUUUUAAGUCACUUGACUUUUUAAACAAGAGACAGCUAAAGUCAAAAUUCAGUAUCAGCCCACAGCUUCAUGCGUAGCCAAACAGGCUCUUAGUGGGGAUAUUUUUGCUUAAAAUUCCUCUUUCCUCUUCUGGAUUAGAUUUGAAGGUUGUCGCCAUAUUUCAAUGAAUUUAUGAAGUUGCUGAAACAUGGGAUUGACUAAACUAGAAUUUCUCUAUUUCAACAACUCUAGUGAAAUGUCCAUACUUCACGUCGCAGGGAAGUAUAAUGUACACUACAAGCUUCCUUUCCUUUCCAUAUAGUAUAUUAAGUAAACAUGACUAAAAUACCCUUACACAUUAACUACAUUAUUUUGUUGGACACAAAAUUGGUUCAGAUGUGUAAGGCAAUAUUGGGGUGGGGGGAGAGGGGGAUUACAAUCUACUCUUAAAAGGAAAACAAAACUUUUCUCAGAGUUCAUCAAAAGAAGUUGAGUCUAAAGAUUAACACAUAGUGGUAUAAAAUUUGUUCCACGGCAUUAAACAAUAGCAAAGCCAAGAAUAUGUGAUUCGGAUAGUUUCAUUUGUUAUUGUUUUGAAACAUUUGCAAGUAAGAUAACUGGUUGUACGAAUUUGUAAGAUCUUACUCUAAUUGUCACGUUUUAACAAUGAUUUAUAUACAAAAGACAGACGCAUUCCAGACUAUAUAACUCACAUAAGGGCCAGAGCCCAGAGGUCUGCUUGAGUUUUGAAUUUGUCAAUUAUUAUCAUGAAAAUGUGAACUGCAAACUACAAGUAAAAAGUUUGAUAUGCAAUCUGCAAAUCAGAUCAACCUAAUAAAUGUCGUGAAUAUAACUCAAUCAAGAGCAAGAGCAACUGAAGGAAAAGAGCAAGGAAAUACUGUGUGCACAUCUGGCAAACAAGCAGCUCCAAAAUGCUAGCGGAUUGCGUCCAACCACAGAUACAUAGUAUUGAGUAGUUAAUUUUCGUGAAACAAAGGCAAUAACACCCUAAACAUGGUUAAGUGGCAUGAGAUGUAAAAUUCUAAUUUGCAACAGCAGGCAAAGCUGGCUAUUACACUUAAGUAUAAAAUUCCAGGGUCAUUUUAAUCCUAAUUUUUCAUAAUCCCAGCAUAAUCUCCUUCACUAGGGCAACGAAACAAUUUACUCAUCGUGUUUGAGAGAAGCUUCGAAUCAAUUUUAUGCUAGUGAAUUUAAGAGAAUCUAAGAACACGCAAAUUUACCGCAGGAUUGAAUACUGUCGAGUAAUAAUUUCCUAGUAUUCAAGAGCAGAGCAAAUAUGACAUGACAGUUUCUAUGUUGAAUUAAGAAUACAAAAUUGAGCAAAAAUUACGCAAAGAGCGAAAAAGAUACCAACAUUCUUGGCGUGGCUGAUGACCGGGAAGAUUCCAUCAGGGCAGGAGGCGAGGCUGUAUGUGUCACGCUUCUGGCCUGCUGCUUAUACCAACUCUCACCAUUUUUUGUGUCAACCGAGGACCAAGAGCCCGUUUGGCUGAGCAAUC
rnacentral:lncRNA from 1 species